UAGGGAAUCUUCCGCAAUGGGCGAAAGCUUGACGGAGCAACGCCGCGUGAGUGAUGAAGGUCUUCGGAUCGUAAAACUCUGUUAUUAGGGAAGAACAAAUGUGUAAGUAACUAUGCACGUCUUGACGGUACCUAAUCAGAAAGCCACGGCUAACUACGUGCCAGCAGCCGCGGUAAUACGUAGGUGGCAAGCGUUAUCCGGAAUUAUUGGGCGUAAAGCGCGCGUAGGCGGUUUUUUAAGUCUGAUGUGAAAGCCCACGGCUCAACCGUGGAGGGUAAUUGGAAACUGGAAGACUUGAGUGCAGAAGAGGAAAGUGGAAUUCCAUGUGUAGCGGUGAAAUGCGCAGAGAUAUGGAGGAACACCAGUGGCGAAGGCGACUUUCUGGUCUGUAACUGACGCUGAUGUGCGAAAGCGUGGGGAUCAAACAGG
rnacentral:rRNA from 1 species